GAGCAGCUCAGAUAUUUAAUGCUUUUCCGGUUGGCAGUUACAUGUGUUGGCCGUAAUGAAUAUAACUACAGACUACACAGUUUUUGAGCUCAAUCAAUUUGGGUAGUUUUUGGCUCGCCAGUCGUCCAAGCGAUUCAAAAACUGGUCUUAUCCACAACUUUAAGAAACGCUAACAAAACUACUGCUCCCAACAUAGAAAGAUGGUUGGCACCACUACACAUGCUUAAGGAGACAUGACGGAAGAUUUCCAUAUGUAAAAACAUGUGCAAACGACCAAACAUUGUUGGGAGAAUAUAUUAUACUACACUUCUAGCUCUUUGACCUACACUGAGUAACGCUCUGCACACAUAGAGCGCGACAGACUGCAAGCAACAUCUGUCAAAUAUUAAAAUACACAUGUUCUUAAGGACACAGCUAUUGAGAUAAGUGCACAACUACAUAACUGUGUCCAUAACAACGUGAGUAUUUUAAUAUUUGACAGAUGUCGCUUGCAGUCUGUCGCGCUCUAUGCGUUCAGCACAUAAGUCGUGCUCUCUAGUUUGCAAUAUGCGCUGGGCGCUCUUCGCUUUAUGCUGCCUUGCUGAAGCUGCUGCGCAAAUGGAUAAGUUAUGUAAUCGCAAAAAAGAGAGUUUAAGUAAAUGAGCAACAUAAAACGGAAAGAGAGUGUAUGGGAAACGGAAAUGAACUGCAAAAGCGAACUCUACGACAUAAGGGGAACGGAAAUGAAUUUUGUAAAAGGUUUACUAUUAAAAAAGGGCAAUUAAUGGUGAGAAAUUGAGAGCAAUAAGUGCAAUCAGCAUAUAUUUGUGAGUAAAUAUAAAAAAAUAACUCGUCGAUGACAAUAACUCGGCGGUUUUGGUGCCUAACUGCGUUAAUUGCCAAAUAAUAGUGAGCAGACAUAAACUUUUUGGAAAAUUUGGCAAAAGUGUUUAAAUUUCAUUAGAGUGCGAAGAACUUUUUGUAAAAAACAGAAGUGAUCAUUAUAAAAAACGUGAACUUAUAUACAUGAAAAUUAAAAACUGAAAUCGGUAUUGAGAAAUCGGCUUGUGUCGGUUUUGUUCGGCUUAAAAUGUGACGUAAUUUUUCGCGCAGCAAUCGCUGGACAUUUGUGAGAGCAGGGCAUAACUGGAAACCGCUCAAAACAGAAAUAGUGGUUUGGGUGUAUUGACAUAAAGAGUUUAAGUAAUUGGGAAAUCAGAGUUAACUGUAUGCGAGCCUGUAUAUGUGUGUAUAUUUAUUCUAAAACUGAAUAAGCCAAAGAGAUACUUUGCGGCUAUCAAUUAUAGUUUCUAAUAAUCUAUAUGUAAUAUAAAAACACAAUGCUAAUACAACAGCAAAGUGUAAUUGAAUAUAACAAAAAUUUUGAGAAAUAAAAGCUCAAAAAAAUCACAGAACUUUCAGUAAAAAGUGAGAAAAAACUUAUAAAGUGCUUAUUACUGUUGCGACUACUUCAAUGCACUUCGGUUCGCGAUUGAGAUUGAUCGGUUCGGUUCGCGUGCGUGUAAAGCUGUGUAUUCAAAAGGCAAGUGCUGUCCAGUGUUGUCAGUUUAAUAAAAGUGUAGUGUUCAUAGAAAAAGUGAGAAAGUAGUGAUAUCAAUUAUUUUAUAAAAAAGUUCAGUCCAAUAUAAAAAUGUGUGGUCUUUUAAAAAUAAAAAUAAAGUGGUAAAUAAUGCAAGUUGAAAUGAUAAAUGUGUGUGUGUGUUUUCAAAAAUAAAAGAGGCAUAGCCCCAAUUGUGUUCGAUUCGUUUCGUAUAAUAAUCGUUAUACCGUUCGUGCUCGUUCUAUAAAAAUUAUUGUGUCGUAAAAAAUCCUGGACCAGCUGGAGAAGGCUUCCACUUCAUAGAAAUAGUUUAACGCAUUCUCCACUCAAACACCAGCCGAAAUCUGCUAAGCUCAACUUUUCUGCAGCUACGGCUUACUCGCAAAUGAAGCAACCAUUCAGCACUUAGCCAUCACGGUUCUGCUCCUUACUGCCGGCAGCUGCUAUUAUUGCAGAAACGCUAACAUGACUACUGCUAUCAACAUAAAUCAGAAGAGAAGAGACAAUACACGCACUUAAAGAGACAUUCCAGAAGAUAUACAUAUGUAUAUAAAUAUCAAUACGAAUAUCUGUAAGCGAAUAAGAAUUGUUGGGAGAACAUAUUAUACUAAACUCUUUGCUCUUUAAUUUGCACUGAGUAUGUCGUGCUCUUUAGUUUGCAAUAUGCGCUGGCCGCUUUUCGCUCUGAAGCCCUGCUGAAGCUACUGCGCAAUUGGUUAAGUUGUCUGCGUUCGUAGUUGUGGCGCUAGCGUUAUGUAAUCGCUCUAAAGAGAGUUUAAGUAAAUGAGCAACAUAAAACGGAAGGAGAGUGUAUGGGAAACGGAAAUGAACUGCAUAAGCGAACUCUAAUACAAAAAGGGGAACGGAAAUGAAUUUUAUAAAAGUUUUACAAUUAAAAAGGGGUAAUUGAUGGUGAGAAAUUGAGAGCAAUAAGCGCAAUUGGCUUAUAUUUGUAAGCAUUUCCAAGAAAAUGACUAGUCGAUGACAAUAACUCCUCAGUACUGGUGUCCAACUGCGUUAAUUGCUAAAAAAUAUUGAGCAGACAUAAACUUUUUUAGAAAUUUUGGCAAAAGUGAUUAAAUUUCAUUAGAUAGUGAAGUGCUUUUUGCAAAAAAUAGAAGCGAUAAUUGUAUAAAAACUUAAACUUAAAUAAUUAACUGGAAAUUAAAAACGGAAAUCUGUAUACAAAAUGAAAGUCGGCUUGUGUCGUUUCCGUUCGUCUUAAAAUGUGUCGUAAUUUUUUGCGCAGCAAACGCUAGACAUAUUUGAGAGAGCAGAGCAGAACUGCGAAACGUUCAAAACAGAAAUAGUGGAGUGGGUGUAAAGAAAUAAAAAGCCGAAGUAAUUGCGAAAUCAAAGUUAACUGUAUGUGAGCAAAUAUAAGUAUGUAUGUAUAUACUAUAUUUCUAAAAUUGAGCAAGCAAAAGAAAUACUCUGCAGCUAUCAACUAUGGUUUUUAAUAUUCUGUAAAAGAUUUUUUAAACGCAAUGUUAAGACAAAAGUUAAAAAUAGACACAAAAUCAAAUAUGAACAACAACAACUAUGAUAAAUAAACUUCCUAAAAAAUGCCAGAACUUUUAGUAAAAAUUGAGGAAAAAUGUUUAUUAGUCUUACGACUACUUCAAUUUCGGUUCGGUUCGCGAUUAAGAUUGAUCGGCUCGGUUCGUGUAUGUGUAAAACGUGUAUGGAUCGGCUCGGUGCGCGUGUGUAAGCUGUGUAUACUACAGGCAAGUGCUGUCAAGUGUUGUUAGUUUUAUAAAAGUGGAGUGUUCAAAGAAAAGUUAAUAAGUAGUGAAAUCAAUUAUUUUAUAAAAAGUUCAUGUCAAUACAAAAAGGUGUCGCCUUUUUAAAAAUAUAAGUGAUAAAGGAAAAAAAAUAAAGUAGUCUAAUUAAUUAUUUUAUAAAAAAAGUUCAAUUGUAUGUAAAAAUGUGCCAUCUUUUAAAAAUAUAAGUGGUAAAGGCAAAAAAAUGCAAGUGAAAAAAUAAAUGUGUUUCUUUUCCAAAAAUAAAAGAGGCAAAAAAAAAGUGAGUGCCCAAAUUGUGUUCGAUUCGUUUCAUAUAAUAAUCGUUAUUUCUUUCGUUCUCGUUUAAUAAAAAAUUACUACAUAUAUUGUAAAAAAAUAUAAUCGUUAUAUCGUUCGUUCUCGUUUAAUAAAAAAAAUAUAAUAUCGUAAAAAAUCAAGGAGCUGCUGGAGAUGGUUUCAACUUAAAAGAGUCAUUUA